rnacentral:lncRNA from 1 species
GGGAAGUUCAAGAUCAAGGUGCCAGCAGAUUUGGUGUCUGGUAAGAGUCUGCUUUCUGCUUCAUAGAUGACAUCUUCUACCUGUGUCCUCAAUGAUGGAGGGGAGAACUCUGACCUCUUCAGCCCUAUAUAAGAGAAAAUCACAAGAUUAAUAUGAAAACCUUGGAAACACUUCCUGUGUAUGUCACAAGUCGAAGACAUUUGCUCUACAUUAUUGGGGCUUUUAGAGAAAUAUCUAAAAGCUUUUAUGACAAAGGAAGAUACCAAACAACAUUUUUUAUUAAAAUAUGAAUCUAAAAUUCAGAAU